AAUGAACGCUGGCGGAAUGCUUUACACAUGCAAGUCGAACGGCAGCACGGACUUCGGUCUGGUGGCGAGUGGCGAACGGGUGAGUAAUGUAUCGGAACGUGCCCAGUCGUGGGGGAUAACGUAGUGAAAAUUACGCUAAUACCGCAUACGAUCUAUGGAUGAAAGCGGGGGAUCGCAAGACCUCGCGCGAUUGGAGCGGCCGAUAUCAGAUUAGGUAGUUGGUGGGGUAAAGGCCCACCAAGCCAACGAUCUGUAGCUGGUCUGAGAGGACGACCAGCCACACUGGAACUGGGACGCGGUCCAGACUCCUACGGGAGGCAGCAGUGGGGAAUUUUGGACAAUGGGCGAAAGCCUGAUCCAGCCAUUCCGCGUGCAGGAUGAAGGCCCUCGGGUUGUAAACUGCUUUUGUACAGAACGAAAAGGUUUCUACUAAUACUAGGAGCUCAUGACGGUACUGUAAGAAUAAGCACCGGCUAACUACGUGCCAGCCGCCGCAGUAA
rnacentral:rRNA from 1 species